rnacentral:rRNA from 1 species
CCUACGGGAGGCAGCAGUGGGGGAUAUUGCACAAUGGGGGAAACCCUGAUGCAGCGACGCCGCGUGAGUGAAGAAUGAUCUCGGGAUGUUAAGCUCCAUUAGUAUGGGAGCAAAAAGACGAUACCUGACUACAAAGCACAGGCUAACUCAGUGCCAGCAGCCGCGGUACUACGGAGGAGGCAAGCGUUGUCCGGAUUUACUGGGUGUAAAGGGAGCGUAGACGGGAAUACAAGUCGGAAGUGAAAUACCCGGGCUCAACCUGGGAACUGCUUUGGAAACUGUAUGGCUGGAGUGCUGGAGAGGUAAGCGGAAUUCCUGGUGUAGCGGUGAAAUGCGUAGAUAUCAGGAGGAACACUAGUGGCGAAGGCGGCUUACUGGACAGUAACUGACGUUGAGGCUCGAAAGCGUGGGGAGCAAACAGGAUUAGAUACCCGUGUAGUC